GUAUAUGUUUCGUUUUUUGAAAACCAUCAAACUAGAUCUCGUCUGAUCUCGGAAGCUAAGCAGGGUCGGGCCUGGUUAGUACUUGGAUGGGAGACCACCUAGGAAGACCAGGUGCUGUAGGCA
rnacentral:rRNA from 1 species